UACGGAAGGGGCAAGCGUUUGUCCGGAAUUAUUGGGCGUAAAGCGCGCGCAGGCGGUCCUUUAAGUCUGAUGUGAAAGCCCACGGCUCAACCGUGGAGGGUCAUUGGAAACUGGGGGACUUGAGUGCAGAAGAGGAGAGCGGAAUUCCACGUGUAGCGGUGAAAUGCGUAGAGAUGUGGAGGAACACCAGUGGCGAAGGCGGCUCUCUGGUCUGUAACUGACGCUGAGGCGCGAAAGCGUGGGGAGCAAACAGG
rnacentral:rRNA from 1 species